AGAAUCAACGCUGGCGGCGUGCCUAACACAUGCAAGUCGAACGAGAAAGUGGAGCAAUCCAUGAGUAAAGUGGCGCACGGGUGAGUAACACGUGACUAACCUACCCUUGAGUGGGGGAUAACCUAGGGAAACCUGGGCUAAUACCGCAUAAUACCUUCGGGUCAAAGGAGCAAUUCGCUUUAGGAGGGGGUCGCGGCCGAUUAGUUAGUUGGCGGGGUAAUGGCCCACCAAGACUGUGAUCGGUAUCCGGCCUGAGAGGGCGCACGGACACACUGGAACUGAAACACGGUCCAGACUCCUACGGGAGGCAGCAGUGGGGAAUUUUGCGCAAUGGGGGAAACCCUGACGCAGCAACGCCGCGUGGAGGAUGAAGCCCUUUGGGGCGUAAACUCCUUUCGAUCGGGACGAUAAUGACGGUACCGAGAGAAGAAGCCCCGGCUAACUUCGCGCCAGCAGCCGC
rnacentral:rRNA from 1 species